CCUACGGGAGGCAGCAGUAAGGAAUAUUGCGCAAUGGGCGAAAGCCUGACGCAGCGACGCCGCGUGGGGGAUGAAGGUCUUCGGAUUGUAAACCCCUUUCGGGAGGGAAGAUGGAGCGAGCAAUCGCUCGGACGGUACCUCCAGAAGCAGCCACGGCUAACUUCGUGCCAGCAGCCGCGGUAAU
rnacentral:rRNA from 1 species